CGUUAGCAUGUCUUCUUCCAAGAGGCAGAAAAUUGAAAAAUUCUUCAAGUUCAGUAGUGAUUCAGAAAACUGUACAGUUUGUAUUCCUGAGGUUCUUGAUGGUAACUAUGGGAUGUAUGUAUGGCCAUGUUCACCAGUGUUGGCACAGUAUAUAUGGUACCACAGGGAAUCACUCAAAGGCAAAACUGUACUUGAGAUUGGUGCUGGAACUUCUCUUCCUGGGAUAGUAGCAGCCAAGUGUGAAGCCACAGUAAUUCUCAGUGAUAGUUCUGAAUACCCACAAUGCCUUGCGAAUUGUGCUGCAUCAUGUGAAGCAAACAAUCUGUCCAAUAUAACAAUAGUUGGUAUAAAAUGGGGACAAUUCACCCCAGAAUUACUCAAUCUUCAACCUGUUGACAUUAUCUUAGGAUCAGACUGUUUCUUUGAUACUAAAGACUUUGAAGAUAUCAUAGUGACAGUAGCAUUUAUAAUGAAGAAAAGACCAAGUACAGAGUUUUGGUGUACUUAUCAAGAGAGAAGUUCCUCUAGGAGUAUUGAGUAUCUACUGUUAAAAUGGGGAUUAGAGAGCAGAGAGAUUGAUUUAGAAACAUUUGAAGCAGACUCACCAACCCUAGCAGGAUCUACAUUACCUGGGAAUCAUACCAUUCACAUGUAUAUAAUGAAAAAGAAAAGUUAUUCUGACAGCUAAAUCAAAAUACAUGUACUACAAUGGCCCAUAUCAAAAAUGAUGCUUCAUUUUGAUGAAUUAUGUUGCACAGUCAUUUUGUCCUGAUAAAUGAGGACAGGGCCUACAUACUGUGAAGAGGAAAUGUUUAUAUAUAUGGUUAAACGAAAUGGCCACACAAAAGUGAUCUAGAAUUAGAUUACCAGUAAUUGGUAUUAAGUUCAAAAUAUGUGACAAGUACUGAGAAAAAAUCAGCCACUGUUUAUGUGAUGUUCAGAGUACAGAAUAAGUUGCCAAUGACAACAUAAUGAGAUUACAAAGCUGAAAUGAUGACUCAAAGAAGAUUGCAUUCCCUUGACAGAUAAAGGAAAAAAAAACAGCUGAUGAGAAAAGAAUGGCAAGGAUGGCUUUAAACAGAAUCAUGG